CUACGGGGGGCUCCAGUCGAGAAUCUUCCGCAAUGCGCGAAAGCGUGACGGAGCGAUGCCGCGUGCAGGAUGAAGGCCUUAGGGUUGUAAACUGCUGUCACCGGGGACGAAUAUAUGACGGUACCCGGAGAGGAAGCCACGGCUAACUACGUGCCAGCAGCCGCGGUAAUACGUAGGUGGCGAGCGUUGUUCGGAUUUAUUGGGCGUAAAGGGUCCGCAGGGGGUUUGCUAAGUCUGAUGUGAAAUCCUACGGCUCAACCGUAGAACUGCAUUGGAAACUGGUGAACUAGAGUACUGGAGAGGAGAGCGGAAUUCCUGGUGUAGCGGUGGAAUGCGUAGAUAUCAGGAAGAACACCGAAAGCGAAGGCAGCUCUCUGGACAGUUACUGACCCUCAGGGACGAAAGCGUGGGGAGCGAACAGGAUUAGAUACCCGCGUAGUC
rnacentral:rRNA from 1 species